rnacentral:sRNA from 1 species
AAAGUUAUUUCUCUAUUGUUAAUAAAAAAUUUCUGUUCUUAUCAGCUUAAUAUCUGAUAUGUUAGGCAAUGCCUAACUCAUAUAUUAAACUGAUUUUUGGACUUCGGCCAUGGGAUUGAA